rnacentral:lncRNA from 1 species
GUCCGCUUUUCAAUUUCAAGCUUCUAUAGUUUGCGGUUUUGUUCCAGUGUUUCAUGCCACAGUUUUUCUUCCACUGUUUCAUGUCACGUGCUUUUGCCUUCAAGAGCAGUGGCUCCCAACCUUGGGACCCCAGAUGUUCUUGGAAUAAAGCCUCCAGAAGCCUUCGCUCCCAGAAGCUAUGCUGGCCAGAAUUUCUGGGAGUUGUAGUCCAAGAACAUCUGAGCACCCAAGGUUAGGAAUCAUUGUUCUAGAGCAGUGGUUCUUAACCUUGGGUUACUAAGGUUUUUAUGGACUGCAACUCCCAGAAGCCUUCAUCACCAGCUGUGCUGGCUGGGGUUUCUGGGAGUUGCAGUUCAAAAACACCUGAGUAACCAAAGGUUAAGAACCACUGUUCUAGAGCAAAAGUGACAGUAGGUGAGACAGAAGUCAGAGCCCCUGGUUUCUCUGGUUUCUAACAAAUAAAGAGGAUUUCAAAGAGCUGGAAAUUACUUUGGAGACAUCCCAUCUGUUCUCUUUAAAAGACAUCAUGAAGAGGUUCCUGCUCCUUUCCUUUGUUUGCUCUCUCUUCUCCGUAGUUCGUGGAGCUGACGAUAUUACAUGUGCUUCUUGUUCUGUUGAAGAAACUAACUGUAACACGAACUGCACGGCACAAACUUGCAUCGCCCUAAGGGAACUCAACACAUUAAAAAGUGCCAAUGGGACAUACAGAGGCUGUUUAAGUGAAAACAGGACGUGCAACCCCCUUGCUUUCACUUUCUCUACUGAUGAUAAUCAGCAAGUGCAGAGCAGUGUGGCCUGCUGCACAACCGAGAUGUGUAAUGACAAACUCUCUCUGAGCGCACCUCCCACGAGCACUGUUGAAAAUGGAGCGCAUUGCGCAGUCUGUGAAGCGUACAACAAGAGCACGUGCGAGAGCACAAAGAAAAUCGCCUGCAAAGGAGCUGAAAUCAAAUGCAUCACCCUCUCCGGGGAAUCUCUCCAGGAUAAGAACGAAACUUUCGCAAUCAAAGGAUGUGCCACUGAGAGCGCUUGCACUAUGGUAAAGGGUGACCCAUUAUCCUAUGGAAGCAAAAUCUACCAGCUCUCCGAGAAUCCUGCUUGUAUUAACCAAGGAACCUUGGCUGCUCUGUCUUCUGUAAUCAUCAUCCUUCCUGCGGUUGUUCCACUCCUCAUGACCAGUGUCCUCUCUUGAUCUAGCUGCCUGCCAUUUUCUUCCAAAUUUGUGUUGGAUACGAACAUGACAAUGGGGUGUGGUCUCCAGAACCAGGAAUAACAUUUUAAUCAGGGGGGACUAUCUAUUUUUGUGUGUGGAGGGGAGAACAUAUACAUUUUCCUCUUCUGAAUUUCCGAGGGACCUCACCCUUUAGCUCCCAUCGUCGUCAUCUAGUCGUUUAGUCGUGUCCGACUCUUCGUGAUCCCUUUAACUCCCACUCUCUACCUAUACACCCCUGUUCCUGUUGUGGUUAAGAACAGGAACAGUUGCCCACCCCUGGGAUUCUCCUUGCCCUUUUCCACACUGAAAACAUUUCUGGAUACUCUGAGGUAGAGUUGUUCCUCAGAUGGGUGUAAUCUCCCUAUGGGCUGCAUAGCUCCUUGGAAUGCUCCGAAAGGUGGCCGAAGUGGUGGAUGAGGAGCAAAUGAGAUCUAAAUUUGUAAAGGGAAAUAAAUGAUUUUUUAAAAAAUUGAUUUUUUAAGUU